GGCCUCGUAGCUCAGCUGGCAGAGCGUGCGCGUACAAAGCGUAGGUGGCCUCCAUACGCGAGUUCGAAUCCCACCGAGGCUA
rnacentral:tRNA from 1 species